AAUGAUUACUCUGAAGAGUGCUUCUUGAGAGCGUUGGCAGCAGAGUCUUUGUCUCUUUUCUCUGAUUGCAGCGAGAGCAGGUGGUACUUUCUGGCACCGUGAGAAGCAGCGCAUGCUUCUCCCGGUUUCAGAUGGGCUCCACAACUCAGGGGAGAGCCCUCAUCGCUCAGUCCUCCCUCUGCGGAGCAGGCACCGGCCCAUCUUUCUCUCAAUGGAUAACAACCCUCUUUCCUGUUGCCAGAAGACUGGGGACAUCUCUGGCUGGAAUAGGCCACUGUGGGGAGAAGGCUUUUAGGAGAGUGGUUCUUGAGGAAGACCUAUCAUGAGAAGGAAGGAUCAAAUCAGGCUUCGUGGCAAGUACCUUGGCUCACCAAGGCAUGUUGGCUGUUCCUGUAGCAGAGACUC